CCUACGGGUGGCAGCAGUGAGGAAUAUUGGUCAAUGGGCGCUAGCCUGAACCAGCCAAGUAGCGUGAAGGAUGACUGCCCUAUGGGUUGUAAACUUCUUUUAUAUGGGAAUAAAGUGCAGUAUGUAUACUGCUUUGCAUGUACCUUAUGAAUAAGGAUCGGCUAACUCCGUGCCAGCAGCCGCGGUUAUUCGGAGGAUCCGAGCGUUAUCCGGUUUUUUUGGGGUUAAAGGGGGCGUAGGCGGGUUGUUAAGUCAGUUGGUAAAGUUGACGGUCCAACCGUAAGAUUGCAGUUGAUACUGGCAUCCUUGAGUACAGUAGAGGUAGGCGGAAUUCGUGGUGUAGCGGUGAAAUGCUUAGAUAUCACGAAGAACUCCGAUUGCGAAGGCAGCCUGCUGGACUGUAACUGACGCUGAUGCUCGAAAGUGUGGGUAUCAAACAGGAUUAGAUACCCCAGUAGUC
rnacentral:rRNA from 1 species